rnacentral:rRNA from 1 species
UGGGGAAUAUUGGACAAUGGGCGCAAGCCUGAUCCAGCCAUGCCGCGUGUGUGAAGAAGGCCUUGUGGUUGUAAAGCACUUUAAGCGAGGAGGAGGCUACUUGGAUUAAUACUCUAGGAUAGUGGACGUUACUCGCAGAAUAAGCACCGGCUAACUCUGUGCCAGCAGCCGCGGUAAUACAGAGGGUGCGAGCGUUAAUCGGAUUUACUGGGCGUAAAGCGUGCGUAGGCGGCUUCUUAUGUCGGAUGUGAAAUCCCUGAGCUUAACUUAGGAAUUGCAUUCGAUACUGUGAAGGUAGAGUAUGGGAGAGGAUGGUAGAAUUCCAGGUGUAGCGGUGAAAUGCGUAGAGAUCUGGCGGAGUACCGAUGGCGAAGGCAGCCAUCUGGCCUAAUACUGACGCUGAGGUACGCAAGCAUGGGGAGCACACAGG